AUCUAAUGGAUUUCAGAUCUACUAUAUUUCUCCCUUAUUUCCUCCAUCUUUGGUCUUUCCUGGUCAUGACGAACUGUCCAACUAAUUCAGCGAAGUAGCUCAUAUCUUUCAUCAUCAACGACAUCUCCAUAUCGGCUAGUUCUGACCGUAUAUUUCCAGGAUUAAUUUUCUCAAAAAUAUAAAACAGGUAAUUAGUUCAAACUUUUAAAAUCAAGUGAUUUGAUGAUAUAUUUUUCAGUGUUUGAUCGUGUAUAUAUAUGUGUUUGUUCACGUUUGGAGUUUAUUAUUCAGAAGGAGAUUUUAUUGAUUAAGAGAUUAAUUCGGCCUGCAUACUGAAAAUAAAUUUUUUUUUUUUGAAGCAAUACCCAAAAUAAUUGAGUCAAUAAUUAUGCUACACCCAAUUCAAAAUUCAUAUCAACAGAUUCUACUUUGUAGUAAUUGCAUAAAAGUUUAAAAUUAAUUAUUAUUUGCACUAUCAUAUUCAUAUCAUGACAAAAUUAGUAUAAAUGAAAGCAUGAGGAAUUAAAUGAAAUUUGGCAACAAUUAAAUCUAUUGGACAAGUUGGGAGUCAGAUAUAUUUCAGAUCUAAUUUAUCUACUUAUUUUGUAACCAUUCUUUGCUCAGAUUUUUCUGAUUUCAUAUUCCCCCCUUAUUUCUUCCAUCUUCUCUUUCCCGGUCAUAGACGAACUCUCCAACUCCUUCAUAAAGUAGCUCAUAUCUUUGAUCACCAACGUUUUCGAUCUCCAUAUCUUUGAUCAUCAACCGUUGGUUUCCAAGAUUUUCUUCAAAGUAUAAAACAG
rnacentral:lncRNA from 1 species